rnacentral:lncRNA from 1 species
UGCAAACACGAGACACGCAGCUCGACACUGGAAAUCAGCAACGUCCAAAAGACUGAGUCUGGCAUUUACUACUGUGCCUAUAAAUACAGCAGCUACCUGAUCUUCGGGAAUGGAUCCACGCUGAUUGCUGGAGACAGUUAUACCAACAGCAGCUGGGUGAUGAUUCUGGUCCCAUUUCCACGUGGCAGUCAAGUCACUGGGACAGCAAAUCUGGCCUGUGUGAUCCAUGGAGUGUCCAGCCCAGUCCAUGUUUCCUGGAGUGUUUCUGGGGAGCUGCAGGAACAGGGGCUGACGCGCUCAUUGAGAGCAAGGGAUGGAUCUUUAACACUCAUAAAUCACAUCAGCGUCCCCAUGGACACCUGGACCAGUGGGAAGAAUUUCACCUGUGAAGUCAAAUUCAACUCUUCUGGCAACAGUGUGAAGAGAAGUACCAGGUAUCCUGCAGCCCAUUCCAACGAGUGUGUGGCGCAGACGCUGCGCUAUGCAGUGGCAAUUUUCUUGGUGGUAUUGAUGGUGUCUCUGAGCCUGGACUGGAGUCAUUGCUGUUCUAAUCCAG